CACCCCACCUGCAGUCUUCACCACCUCGCCGGCGGCCACGGGGGCUAAAAACGAUAAGAGAGACGGUGGGGGGUGCAUUUUGUGGGCAUCUGACUCUUCCAGGGCUGGGCGGAGCCAAGGACACUGGGCUUGGAGUCAUUCGGGCUGGAUGGGGCUGAACCCGCCCAUGUCUAUGGCCUGCUGAGUCCUGUCCUCUUGCAGAGCUCUUUUCGUCAUCUGCGCAAUGGCAGGAAUGAGACGGAAACCAGUGAAGCGUUCCUCGCAGGGCCUGCCUGGAUUCAAAUCCCACCACUCAGAGUGUGAUCUCGGGAGGGCCCUUUGCUGCCCUGAGCCUUUUCCCUGUGUGAGGAGUAAACAGGCUGAUGAGUAAGAGGGGUCACCCUUAGUGAGUGCUUUUAUUCCGUCUGUGCCAGGACUUAUCUUGGAUAACAUUUGCAGUGACCUUAUGAGGUAAGGAUGGCCACUUGGAACCCUUGAAGCUGUGAGUCCCCUUGACUUCCUCCCAGGCACUGCCCUCCCAGAAGUGAAGGUACCAGGAGGCAGAGGAAACAGUAGCACCACGGUGCCAUCCUGGAUCCAACGGAGCAGGUGACAGACAGCAGGGGUCACAGGCAGGCCAACUUGGACUGAGGAAAAAAAAGUCGCAGGAAAGCAGCUGGGCAUCCUGCCUUGCUUCGCCCUUGGACUUCUGCAGGGUCCGUUUGCCCUUUGUUUGACUCCCAGACCCCACUGAGCUGGGAACCAACCAGUGGGCUGGAAGCCCAGGAUGGGGUGGCCCACCUAGUAGGGACGACAUUUACUUGCACAAAAGAUGGUCUCCAGGAGCCCCUUCAGGACCGAAGCAGGGAAACACUGUCGCCCUGGAGAGCUGGGAGAGGGGGAGGCAGCAGCAGUCGCUGGCCAGAGAGGGGCGAAACAGAGCUCAGGGUCCCUGCAGCGGGUGGGGGAAGCUCAGGUCCAGGUGGGCUUUGUGUUCCUUGAGGUUCUCCGCCAAGGUUCUGCUUCAUCAGGCCUCUGCCGAGUUCUCUGGCCUCACCUGUCCACCGCUGCUCCGUGCAGCCACCUUUCCCCUGCUCCCCAAGGUGCGUCCAUUUCUGAGUUUCCCUCCUCUGGACCUGUGACCAUGCCAUCCCUCCUGCCUGGACUGCCUCCCAGUCUCUCAGUAGUACCACCUCCAGGUUCAGCUUGUGGUUCCGGCUGACAGCACGAAAAUCCAACACGCCCCUCACCGGAGGACUGGGAGGCUCCCGCGUUUUGGAUUCUGAAAAGCACUCCCUCGUUCACGUCUGCCUGGAUUCGCGCCCUCAAGCCCCCUGGCGCCCACUUUUCUUGCUCUCCAAACACUCGUUGAGGCCCGAGAGGGAGAUGCGAAGUUUGCCCACCACUGCGCGUCCCUCCUCCGCGAGGCGCCAAUGGGCCUGAGUCAGGGGCCUCCCCUUCAUCCGCUGGUCCCUCCCCUGUUCCCAGCUCCAGUUCCUCACCCGCUAUGGCUGGCCUGGCGCCUGUGGCCGUUCACCGUCUGCGAGGCAUCUGCGGGGACUGAAGUCGGGGAGGCAGCGGCGGGCUCUGGCAGAUACCAGGAGAUCCCGCCCCUCGGCCCGGGAGACCCCGCCCCUCGGCCACGCCCCUUUCCGCUCCCCACCCCGCCCUCUUGGGCCCCCCACCCGGCCCAGCCAGACAGAGACCUGCCUCCAGGUGGGUGGGAGGAGACCUUCAGUCCCUCGCCCCGGGCCUGUUGUCACUACCUCCCCCAAACACAUUGGUUAAAGUCACCCGAUUAGAAGGGGCCACCUGUGAGACUUGGAUCCAAAGCAAACUAGCGGAAGCUGAAGGGUCUUGGGGCUUCCCAGGCCUCUCGGAGGCCGGGAUGGUCGUGGAGGAGGGAGCGCUCAGUGCCUGGCCUACUGCCUGCCCUGAGCCGGCUCCCUACAGGACGCUUCUCCUGUACCUUCCACCUGCUGCGAGGAAGGGCUGGGGGCAGGCGUACCCAUUUUCCAGAGGAGAACUGAAGGCUCUCACCCCGGGUUAGGCCAGUGGCCGGAGGCAGAGCCGGGCCUUGAACCUGGCUUUCUGGAUCUUCAUCCAGGCCAUUCUAAAGGGGAUCACAGUUUCCAGGAGUCACUCCUGAAGAUGGUCAAGUACCAUGGAGGGGCAGGGCAUCCAUGGACCCUGAUUUGAGGCCCCGGAGCAGUUGGGACUGGUUUGGGCCACGGCUGGCCUAAUCUCCCCUCCACAGAGCCUGGGCAUUGUCCAGUUGGCAGCCAAGAGCCAUCUAUCCACUUUACAGCGGGCAGCUUUGACAGGCUGCUUGUUUCCAAGGACAAAGCCUGCAGGCUGUGGAAUGUUGAGAAUCACCUCUUUCUCUCAGGGACAUAAAGCAUGGCUGUGAGAGAGAUUUGUUUCUAGGAUGCUUUCCCUGACCUCCACUUAAAUUGGCUCAGGAGUUCCCUGAUCUCCACAAAUGUCAGGAACUUGUCCACCCGCCUGCCCCCAGCACCCAGGUUACACCUGACAAAAUGAUCUGUGACAUGCCUGGCCUGGAGCCUGGCACACAGCAGGUGCUCAGUAAAUACAUAUUUGGCCGGGCGCGAUGACUCACGUCUGUAACCCCAUCACUUUGGGAGGCCGAGGUGGAUGGAUCACCUGAGGUCACGUGUUUGAGACCAUCCUGGCCAACAUGGCGGAACCCUGUCUCUACUAAAAAUACAAAAAUUAGCUGGUUGUGGUGGCGCGUGCCUGUAAUCCCAGCUGCUGGGGAGGCUGAGGCAGGAGAACCUGGGAGGCGGAGGUUGCAGUGAGCCAAGAUCAUGCCAUCACACUCCAGCCUGGGUGACAGAACAAGGCUCAGUCUCAAAAUGAAUACAUACAUACAUACCUAUUUGUAUUAGGAGGAGAAAACCAAGAACCAGAGAAGAGAAGAGAAGGGAAGGGACCUGUGGCCACAUAGCAAGGCCAUGGCACAGCCGAAGUCUCCUCUGCUUUCCUCAUGCAGCCCCGUCCAACCCAUCUCUUUCAUCUCUUUUCUUAAAACUUAAAAAUAUUUUCAGGGGGGUGUGGUGGCUCAUGCCUAUAAUCCCAGCAAUUUGGGAGGAUGAGAUGGGAGGAUUGCUUGAGCCCGGGAGUUUGAGGCUGCAGUGAGCCACUGUAGUCCAGCCGGGGUGACACAGCCAGACUCCAUCUUUUUCUCUGUAUAUUUUUUCACCUCUACCUGAUGUGACUGAGUAACUGCUGGGGUACAUCACCUCUUUCAGGUGAUGGAAAUGUUCUAAAGUUGAUUAUGCUGAUGGUUGGUUGCCCAGCUGUGAAUGCAGUAAAAACAUUGAGCCGUACACUUUAAAUGGACAAGUUAUGUGUGAAUUAUAUCUCAAUAAAGCUCUGUGCCCCACCCAAAUCUCCUGUCAAACUGUGAUUCAUAGCGUUGGAAGUGGGGCCGGGUGGAAGGUGACUAGAUCAUGGGGGCGGAUCCUUCAUAAAUGAU
rnacentral:lncRNA from 10 species